rnacentral:rRNA from 1 species
UACAGAGGCCCCAAGCGUUACUGAGAAUCACUGGGUUUAAAGGGUGCGUAGGUGGCGCGUUAAGUCCGUUGUGAAAUCCCUUGGCUCAACCAAGGAAAUGCUUCGGAUACUGGCGUGCUUGAGGCUAGUAGGGGUCACUGGAACUGACGGUGGAGCGGUGAAAUGCGUAGAUAUCGUCAGGAACGCCGAUGGUGAAGACAGGUGACUGGGCUAGUUCUGACACUGAGGCACGAAAGCGUGGGGAGGCGAACGGGGA